rnacentral:rRNA from 1 species
UACGUAGGGAGCAAGCGUUGUCCGGAAUCAUUGGGCGUAAAGAGCUCGUAGGCGGUCUGUCGCGUCUGCUGUGAAAACUCAGGGCUUAACCCUGAGCUUGCAGUGGGUACGGGCAGACUAGAGUGCGGUAGGGGAGACUGGAAUUCCUGGUGUAGCGGUGAAAUGCGCAGAUAUCAGGAGGAACACCGGUGGCGAAGGCGGGUCUCUGGGCCGUAACUGACGCUGGAGGAGCGAAAGCAUGGGGAGCGAACAGG